AUUGAACGCUGGCGGAAUGCUUUACACAUGCAAGUCGAACGGUAGAGGGGGCAACCCCUUGAGAGUGGCGAACGGGUGAGUAAUAUAUCGGAACGUGCCCAGUCGUGGGGAUAACGUAGCGAAAGUUACGCUAAUACCGCAUACGAUCUAAGGAUGAAAGCGGGGGAUCGCAAGACCUCGCGCGAUUGGAGCGGCCGAUAUCAGAUUAGGUAGUUGGUGAGGUAAAGGCUCACCAAGCCAACGAUCUGUAGCUGGUCUGAGAGGACGACCAGCCACACUGGAACUGAGACACGGUCCAGACUCCUACGGGAGGCAGCAGUGGGGAAUUUUGGACAAUGGACGCAAGUCUGAUCCAGCCAUUCCGCGUGCAGGAUGAAGGCCCUCGGGUUGUAAACUGCUUUGUACGGAACGAAAGGUUUGUCUUAAUACGAUGAGCUCAUGACGGUACCGUAGAAUAAGCACCGGCUAACUACGUGCCAGCAGCCGCGGU
rnacentral:rRNA from 1 species